CUGGGGCCAGAGAGGGCAGCCCUAAGGGGGUCUAGACAGCACCUUCUGCCCAGAAUGGCAGCCUUUGGUACAAGUCUUUAUUUAUGCCAGUGGCAUGAAAAUGUCGCCCGAUGAAUCCCCAGGGGCCCGUUCUUGGCAAAAGCCCUGUCUCCCAGCAAGAUGGGAAGUGAUGUCACAUUGCACUCUCCAGCCCGCUCUUCUGGGGUUGUUCGAGUUGUGAGAUGGUUCGGUGACUGAUGCCUCUCAUUGUCCCAGACCUUGUGCUUCCCCUGGGAGACCCUCCACCCUGGUGGUUGCUUUUUCCUGUCCCCAUGCUUUAGCUUGAGCAUCUCCACCGUGGAGGCUGCCCUUGGAGGCUGCACUGUGCUGGGAGGAGAGGGAGACUGGAGAGGGAGAGGAGGAGGAGAUGGCAGGGGCAGUGGGGCCCUCAGAGCUGGUGCAGUACUGUGCUGAUGUCAUCACUUUUGGGGGCCUGCUGAGGCCUGUGGCUGCUCCAGAAUCGACACCAGGAGCCUCUUGCUCAGCCUGGGACAGGCACAGCAUUGCGGCUGCCAGUCUCCCUGACAAGGACAAGACCUGCACCUUCCAGGCAGAGCCAACUGGCCAGCUGAGGUCCUGCGACUCCUGCAGGGAUGAAGGUAUAAGGAAAAGGUGAGGGCCACGAGAACCGGCAAUGGGACGCUGGCGGGGCUCACCUGGCAAAUUGGCAGCACCAGACUCCGGAAGAGAGGGAGCAGAAGGGAGGCAGGCCGGGGACUGCAGAGAAAGGCGCCAAGGCACUGGCAAGAUCCUAGCGCCUCAGAUCCUGACCGUGGCACCUCCCCACCGACCAUUUUCACUUUUCACCCAAUGCAGUCGGUAGUUUGCUCUGCGCUUCUCAUUCUCAGCAGUUCUGAUUAAAGAUCAGAUCCCAUUUUCCUUUUAUGCCUUUAAACUUUAAGCCUGGCCACCCAAGACAAAUGCUCUAUUCAAAGCUGGAAGAUACUUAGAAAUCAUCUGUUACAAGUCCCCAAGCUCAGCGAUGAGGACAGUGAGGCCCAGAGAUUAACCGACUUUCCCAAGGACACAGGAAGCUCAGGGCAGACCUGGGAUUCCCUGGGACAUGUGGGACACGGAUGAGAUCAUCAGCGCUCAACCCAUCAGGCAUCCUGACUCAGAUGCAGUAGGACAAGGUGCUGGGGAGAGGCAGGACAGGCCUGUCCCCCGAGUCCCCUCCGGAUGCCGUGGACCGGCCAGCUGUGAGUGUUUCUUUGGCAGUGUCUUAGCUGGUUGUUGUGAGCAAUAGUAAGGAAGCAAUCAGCAAGUAUACUGCCCUAGAAGUGCUGCACGUUGUGGGGCCCAAGAGGGAAGAUGAAGCGAGAGAUGCCCAGACCAGUGGGAGACGCCAGGACUUCGGAAGCUCUUCUGCGCCACGGUGGGUGGUGAGGGCGGCUGGGAAAGUGAGCUCCAGGGCCCCAGGAGCAGCCUGCUCGUGGGUGCGGAAGGAAAAAGGCACAGGGGCUUGGUGUGGGCGGCUUUUGGCUGGGAGAAGUUUGCACGUAGGGAGAAUAGUAGCCAGUGUUUGCAGAGCACUUACUAUGCAGGAAGGCCUGUCCUAAGUAUUGUAAGUGUAUUACAUCAUGUACAAGUGUCUGUGAUUAACCCCGUCUUGCAGAGAAGGAAACAAAAGUACAAACAGAAAAUGUAACUAAGCAUGCAAUUAAUAAAAAGGGACCAGGUUUUGAACGCGAGCAAUCUGGCUCAAGAAUCUGCGCCCAACCACCGGCUCCUGUUCUUAGAGAUGAACGUGGAGUCCUGGAGACUGCUCAACAUUGUGACUUGACUGUGAGCGUACGCGCUCCCUGUCCCCAGGAGACAGAUUUCCAGUGCAAUCAUAGAAAGUGCCUGUGUGGGCUUCGGGAGAUGUGUCUGCCUUGGGGAGAAUUUUCCUUUUCAGCUAGAGCCAGGCCCAGGAUGUUGACGUCAGUGAGACGCUGGUGACGUUCUCUGCUCCAGUGGCUGAUGAGAAAAGUUCCUCCAAGCCAGCUCAGUUGAGAAGAAUUAAGUUCUCUGGGUCCCACUGGCUUCACCUACAGAUGCCAACUUUGAGGCCAGUGAACUGUGAGGCCAGCUGGGCUGAUUGCCAUGGCAACAGGAAUUGGACCAAAGUCACCGGAGGAUGGAGAGGGAAGACACAGUGGUGGCUUCCCCAGGUCUUGGACCACAAGGCACAGCCGUGGCCUCCAGGAACCCUGAGAUAACCCGUUAGUGGGUCCUGCACUCCAACAGAGCUCAUGCAAUCAGCCUCUGGUCCUCACCCUCCUCCCAUUGGUGUCGUUGUGCUCUCUAACAUUGACAUUGAGCAGUGAGUGCUCCAGAUCUUGUUCCACUGAUUUUUUCCACUGUUCUCCAGUCUAGCACUUUCUGAAAUUCAUCCAAGCCUAAGAGGUGACGCCAAACGUAAGUGUCUUACACCUCGGACCCCAUGGACUAAGACAAGCCUCUGGGGUCCAUGUGGCACCAAGGAUGGGGCCUUCUAGUACCUUUCACACAGGCCAGGGACAGCACCUGCUGCGACCCCCACCCCCAGCCUCUGCUGCUUCUCCCGUUGCCCUUCCAGCCACUGCCCUGGGCACCUCCCCUGCUCCCGCCUCCCUGCCUGGGCCCAUCUUUCUUUGCACCUCACCAAUUGCGGGGCUUCCUAGUGCUGGAGGGGAAGGGAGCCUGCUUCCAUUCUCACCACUCUGAAAGAAGACCCUGCAGAGAGGUUUUCUGGAAUUUGGAGCCUAACCUUGGCCUUGACACAGUCCAGAUGAGAAGGCCGUCCCCCAGUUAAGCCAGCCCUCCCUCCCUCUCAAUGCUGGAGAGGAAACCAGGCAGCUGGUUGCUUCAGCAAACCCCCUCCCUAUGGGAAUUGUCCUUUUCUUCCUCAAAUAGACUGGAGUGCAGAGGACUUGCUUCAGAGAGAGCCCCUUUGUAACGCACAUUGCACGGGCCGUGCCCCAUGCCCACUCUGCCACAAACUCCCCUCAGCUGCCCAGCCCCGUGGAGCCAGGCGUGGGCUGAAGUGGGGCCAAUGAAAUGCCUGGAAUGCCAGCCGCAGUGACAGGCCAGCACUCAGAUGCCUCUCGGGAGUUCUGACCGAAGCAGCACUGAGGACUGCUUCAGAGCAGAAGUCUACGCCAUUUUCCCCAGUUCUAGGCAGAAGUAAAGAAUGUCUCUACCUUCUCCCAACCAGCAAUUGAUUCAGAGUCCUGAGCUUUUAAAUUAAAGGGACCCCUCUGUUGCUUUAUGCAGUAGCCAGCUUAUUCAUUUGAGUUCAGGUGAAAUCAUUUUCAAGUAACCUCUUCCUAUCCAGCUUUACUUUUAGUUAUGCUGACAUAAAAACAAUAAAAAUUGUCCUCCUCAGAGUUCACCUGUAAAAGUUCCUGGAUAAUUAGUAAGGAAACAGAAAGAGCAGAUAGUUGUUGCUUCAGAUAAAAGUGAUGUCUGGGUUGGGCACGGUGGCGCAUGCCUGUAAUCCCAGCACUUGGGGAGGCCCAGGUGGAUGGAUCCCUUGAGCUCAGGAGUUUCAGACCAGCCUGGGCAACAUCUCUACAAAAAAUACAAAAAUUAGCCAGGCAUAGUGGCAGGACUGUAGUCCCAGCUACUCAGGAGGCUGAGGUCAGGGGAUGGCUUGAGCCCAGGAGGCACAGAUUGAAGUGAGCUGAGAUUGCGCCACUGUAUUCCAGCCUAGGUGACAGAGCCAGACCCUGUCUCAAAUUAAAAAAAACUCUUUGUGGUCAUUUAAUUUACUUCUGCAUUCUUUUUUUUUUUUUUUUGAAAUGGGCAGUGGUACCAUCUCAGCUCACUGCAACCUCUGCCUUGGGGGUUCAAGUGAUUCUCCUGCCUCAGCCUCCCGAGUAGCUGGGAUUACAGGCACCCGCCACCACGCCCAGCUAAUUUUUGUAUUUUUAGUAGAGACGGGGCUUUGCCAUGUUGACCAGGCUGGACUCAAACUCCUGACCUCAGGUGAUCCGCCCACCUCGGCCUCCCAAAGCACUGGGAUUACAGGAAUGAGCCACUGCACUCGGCCUACUUCUGCAUUCCUUAGAGUACAUCCUAGCUAGGAUAUAUUCACUUGUCUUUAGAGCUAACAGCAGAAGAAAGGUACCUAGAUGCUUAUCUAGCUCUUUAUCUUUCUAGAAAUUCUAGAAGAUGAGAGGGGCAGUGGUGGCUCCAAGGGAGUGAUUUUAGGAUGGACUGGGACAGAGAGGGGCUGCUUACACAUACUCACACAGAGGCCAUUAAUUUAGGGAGUUCAAGGUCCAGGAGGUUGACGGCAUCUAGGCCUGUGGCAGAGUGCACUCCUGCUUUGGGGAAUGUAUGGGCAGCUUCUUGCCUGUAGUUGGAGGGUUAGAGAGAGGGAUCAAUAAUUUCAUGGUUGGACUUGAGUUUGGAGCGAGUGGAGUUAGAUACAAAUUCUAUGUUUUUGGAGAAAGUAUUUGAUCUUCUUGGCUGUGAGGCAAAGCGAGGUUUAAAAAUAUUUUUCACUUAAAAAUAUAUAUAUAUGCAUGUAUAUUUAAUACUGUCUAUGGAUUGUGCCAAUAUCUAUUUCAUGGUUUUGAUAUUGUGUAGUUAUACAAGGAGUUACCACUGAACGAAACUGGGGGAAGGGUACACAGAAUCUCUGUACUUUUUUUGUUGUUGUUGCAAUUUCCUGUAAAUCUAUGAUUAUUUUAAAAUAAAAAAGUUAAAGCAUACGUAUUUACAUUUGAUUAAAUGCAGUGUGAUAUCCUGGGUUGGAUUUUGGAACAAAACAAGGCAUGAGUGAAAAAACUGGUAAAAUCCAAAAAAGCCUUUAGUUAAAAGUAAUACCAGUGUUAAUUUCUUAGUUUUGACAAAUGUGCCAUGGCUGUGUAAGAUGCAAAUGUUAGAGGAAACUGGGCGAAGAAUUUGAGGGAACUCUCUGUACUAUUCUUUGCAGCUUUUCUGUAAAUCUACAAUUAUUCCAAAAUAAAAGUCUAUUAAAAAUGUAAGUAUACACACACACAUUUAUAUUUGAACACAUCUAGGCAGCCAAUGCCCUUAAAGAAGGCACUUUCUUCAAACGAUGCCUCUGGGAUGGGUGAAUAAUUAAGGGCCCCUUUGACAACUGUGCUGCGGGUUAUGUCACUCCCUAAUUUGGCUGUC
rnacentral:lncRNA from 10 species